GCAUGUCUAAGUACAUGCCGUAUUAAGGCGAAACCGCGAAUGGCUCAUUAAAUCAGUUAUGGUUCCUUGGAUCGUACUAUUCUACUUGGAUAACUGUGGCAAUUCUAGAGCUAAUACAUGCAGCAGAGCUCCGACCUUCGGGGACGAGCGCUUUUAUUAGACCAAAACCAAUCGGACUUCGGUCCGUAAACUGUGGUGACUCUGUAUAACUUUGGGCUGAUCGCACGGGCCCGUCCCGGCGACGUAUCUUUCAAGUGUCUGCCUUAUCAACUUUCGAUGGUAGGUUACGCGCCUACCAUGGUCGUAACGGGUAACGGGGAAUCAGGGUUCGAUUCCGGAGAGGGAGCCUGAGAAACGGCUACCACAUCCAAGGAAGGCAGCAGGCGCGCAAAUUACCCACUCCCAGAACGGGGAGGUAGUGACGAAAAAUAACAAUACGGGACUCUUUUGAGACCCCGUAAUUGGAAUGAGUACACUCUAAAUCCUUUAACGAGGAUCCAUUGGAGGGCAAGUCUAGUGCCAGCAGCCGCGGUAAUUCUAGCUCCAAUAGCGUAUAUUAAAGUUGUUGCGGUUAAAAAGCUCGUAGUUGGAUCUCAGUUCCAGACGGGCGGUCCACUUACCGGUGGUUACUGCUUGUUCUGAACAGCCAGCCGGUUUCUCUUGAUGAUCUUCACCGGUUGUCUUGGGUGACCGGCAAGUUUACUUUGAAAAAAUUAGAGUGCUCAAAGCAGGCGCGACGCCUGAAUAAUGGUGCAUGGAAUAAUGGAAUAGGACCUCGGUUCUAUUUUGUUGGUUUUCGGAACACGAGGUAAUGAUUAAGAGGGACAGACGGGGGCAUUCGUAUUGCGACGCUAGAGGUGAAA
rnacentral:rRNA from 1 species